rnacentral:rRNA from 1 species
CAGCCGCCGCGGUAAUACAGAGGGUGCGAGCGUUAAUCGGAUUUACUGGGCGUAAAGCGUGCGUAGGCGGCUUCUUAAGUCGGAUGUGAAAUCCCUGAGCUUAACCUGGGAACUGCAUUUGAAACUGUCAGGCUGGAGUCUUGUAGAGGGGGGUAGAAUUCCAGGUGUAGCGGUGAAAUGCGUAGAGAUCUGGAGGAAUACCGGUGGCGAAGGCGGCCCCCUGGACAAAGACUGACGCUCAGGUGCGAAAGCGUGGGGAGCAAACAGGAUUAGAUACCCCGGUAGUCCCUGUCUCUUAUAC